rnacentral:sRNA from 1 species
CUCGGAGCUUCUCGGGAAGCUCCGCCUCCCAGGGAUACCUUGGGAAAAUGCUUCUUCCUACGAGUGGAAAUUACUCUCCGAGGAGCUACGUUUAGGAUCUCAUUUAGUGACACAGAUCAGUUACCUCCUCCUUUCCGAAUUGACAACUUUUCUAAGGUCCCGGUUGUCUUUACUCAGCAUGGCGUAGCUGAACCCAGGCUCCGGACUGAAGUGAAGCCGAUGACUUCAUUGGAUUAUGCCUGGGACGAACCCACCUUGCCACCUUUUAUCACUCUGACUGUUAAAGGGGCAGGGUCCUCCGAGAUCAACUGCAACAUGAAUGAUUUCCAGGAUAAUCGGCAGCUUUAUUAUGAAAAUUUCAUUUACAUUGCUGCUACAUAUACAUUCUCUGGCUUGCAGGAGGGAACAGGCAGGCCUGUGGCUUCCAACAAGGCCAUUACCUGUGCGGAGCUCGUUUUGGAUGUCUCACCCAAGACACAAAGAGUCAUUUUAAAAAAGAAGGAACCAGGAAAGCGUUCUCAGCUGUGGAGGAUGACAGGAACAGGAAUGCUGGCCCAUGAGGGCUCCUCAGUUCCUCACAAUCCCAAUAAGCCCUCAGCCGCCCGCUCCACCGAGGGGUCUGCCAUCUUAGAUAUUGCUGGUCUCGCUGCAGUGACUGACAACAGAUACGAGCCACUGAUGCUGAGAAAGCCUGACCGCAGGCGAAGCACAACUCAGACGUGGAGUUUCCGAGAAGGAAAACUGACCUGUGGGUUACAUGGGUUGGUCGUCCAGGCCAAAGGAGGACUUUCUGGUUUGUUUGAUGGAGCUGAAGUUGUUCUUGGUCCUGACACUUCCAUGGAGCUUUUGGGGCCAGUUCCACCUGAACAACAAUUUAUUAAUCAAAAAAUGAGACCUGGUUCUGGAAUGUUAUCCAUCAGAGUCAUCCCAGAUGGACCAACUAGAGCACUCCAGAUAACAGAUUUCUGCCACCGGAAAAGCAGCCGUUCAUAUGAAGUGGAUGAACUUCCUGUCACCGAACAAGAGCUGCAGAAAUUAAAGAAUCCAGAUACAGAGCAGGAAUUGGAAGUGCUUGUGAGGUUAGAAGGUGGAAUUGGGUUGUCCUUAAUUAAUAAAGUCCCAGAAGAACUGGUCUUUGCAAGUCUUACAGGAAUCAAUGUGCACUAUACACAGCUGGCAACCAGUCACAUGCUUGAACUCAGCAUACAGGAUGUACAGGUGGACAAUCAGCUCAUUGGUACCACGCAGCCCUUCAUGCUCUAUGUGACUCCCCUGAGCAAUGAGAAUGAGGUCAUCGAGACCGGCCCAGCUGUGCAAGUCAACGCAGUGAAGUUCCCCAGUAAGAGUGCACUGACCAACAUCUACAAGCAUCUGAUGAUCACAGCUCAGAGAUUCACAGUGCAAAUUGAGGAGAAACUGCUCCUCAAGCUGCUAAGUUUCUUUGGCUACGAUCAAGCAGAAUCAGAGGUGGAAAAAUAUGAUGAAAACCUCCAUGAAAAGACAGCUGAGCAAGGUGGAACACCAAUUCGAUACUAUUUUGAAAAUCUCAAAAUCAGCAUUCCUCAGAUCAAGCUAAGUGUGUUCACCUCCAACAAGCUCCCAUUGGAUCUUAAGGCCCUAAAAAGCACCUUGGGGUUUCCUUUGAUACGGUUUGAAGACGCUGUGAUUAAUCUAGAUCCAUUCACUCGGGUACAUCCCUAUGAGACCAAGGAGUUCAUCAUCAAUGAUAUCCUCAAACAUUUCCAGGAGGAACUCCUCAGCCAGGCAGCUCGAAUCCUGGGAUCAGUGGAUUUUCUUGGCAAUCCUAUGGGGCUUUUGAAUGAUGUUUCUGAAGGGGUUACUGGACUGAUAAAAUAUGGAAAUGUCGGGGGCCUCAUCAGAAAUGUUACACACGGAGUAUCAAACUCUGCUGCCAAGUUUGCUGGAACAUUAUCAGAUGGCUUAGGGAAGACGAUGGACAAUCGGCAUCAGUCAGAGCGGGAGUACAUCAGUGGAAGGUGUGAAAACAGAAGGGGGUGUCAGCGGUUUCAUAUCUGGCCUUGGAAAAGGGCUUGUUGGCACUGUAACCAAGCCAGUGGCAGGCGCCCUGGAUUUUGCAUCAGAAACAGCCCAGGCGGUGAGAGACACAGCCACACUCAGCGGCCCCAGGACUCAAGCACAGAGGGUUCGGAAACCGCGUUGCUGCACGGGGCCCCAGGGGCUGCUUCCCCGAUAUUCUGAGAGCCAGGCGGAAGGACAGGAGCAGCUCUUCAAACUCACAGACAACAUACAGGACGAAUUCUUCAUCGCUGUGGAGAACAUUGACAGCUACUGCGUGCUCAUCUCCUCCAAAGCUGUUUACUUCCUGAAAAGUGGAGACUACGUGGAUCGAGAAGCCAUUUUCCUAGAAGUCAAAUACGAUGACCUCUACCACUGCCUUGUCUCCAAAGACCAUGGGAAGGUGUAUGUGCAGGUGACCAAGAAAGCCGUGAGCACGAGCAGUGGAGUGUCCAUCCCCGGCCCCUCCCACCAGAAGCCCAUGGUCCACGUGAAAUCUGAGGUCCUUGCUGUCAAGUUGUCACAAGAAAUAAACUACGCAAAGAGCCUCUACUAUGAACAGCAGCUUAUGUUAAGACUCAGCGAAAACCGAGAGCAGCUGGAGCUGGACUCCUGAAGCCCCGCUGCCGAGACGGGCGCUCCCGACACAGCGCAGACCCACCAGGAGGAAAGAGGCCCAGCUCUCGGCUGACGAUAGAGGCAGAACCGGAGUCGGGUUUGGGGAAGUUGUCAAGGAAUGAGGGAAAGUAAAUCCUCAUGAGGAAAAGUACAAAUGGAAAUCGUAUUAAUUUGUGAGGCAGGGAGUUAUUUUAGAUUAUGGGAAAUAAUUUUUAAAGGUAUUGGUUAAAUAACGUUUAAAAACAUGUACUGAGAUGAAUCUAAUUUUUAGAUUGCCCUGUAUUUUGUUAACAUGUAUAUAUGUACAACAGUGUGUUUGUAAAUAUAUAGGAACGUUUCUGAACAGGGCCUGUGCUAUGUGUAAAGGUUUGUUAACUGUAAAGUAAUAUAAAGUUAUAUUGGAUCUUCUAUUGCACUAAUUCUAGAUGUCUAAUUCAGGAUACUGUCUAUAGAAAGGCAUUCUUAAAAGUUAAAGAAUGUUACGUCUUAGUUUUGGAGACUAAAGUAUUCCCAGUAAAGUGGGUUGAGGUGAGGGCUGUGGUCCUGAAAGGGACGCCUUUGACAUCGUGGCUGUCCAGUUGGGCUGUGAGCUGUGGCACCCAGGACUGGCGCUGGCCCUUCAGAAGGAUCUAGGAGAGGGGCUUGGGAGCCCACUUUUAAUUUCUCACCCCCAUUUUACAAAGAGUGCUUAGAUUCUUACAAAUUAUGUGGUAAGUUAUCCAUUUGGCUUUUUCCUAACUAGCCUUACCAAACUUAGGGGGAAACCUGUGCUCCAUUACCACAUGGGUGCAAGUCAGCAUUGUAAGUUUUCUCAGGUUAUUAUUAUUAGAGAGGUUGGAAACAUUGGUAAACUCUGUUGACUGAGAAGGAAAAAAAAAGUCCCAUUGAACUAUUGCAACAAAUCAGAAAUCCACAUAAGAGUGCUCUCCUGCCUGGGCAGCAACAACCAAGAACGAAGCCCCGGGACUGUUUUCUUUUUAAUAAAGCCACAGGCAGGCAUCGUAGCUCCACAGCCCGAGGGGACACAGGAUGGAAACCCCAGGAUGAGAAGGGAGCAGGGAGAGUUCCAGAAAGGGGGAUGAAAUAGGAGUAUUAAAAAGCUGCGUUGGUAAGUUUUUCAUGGAACCAAGAUUUGACGAAGGCAUCUCUUAUCCUUGGUUUUAAAUUCCUGCUGGGAGCAAGGCCUGGUAUGAGCGCCCUGGGUCUUGUUUUUGGUGUUUCGCUUUUCUGUAAGGAUUAAGCAGAUAGGGAGAAGGGAAAAGGGGCCUCACUUUAGAAUGAAUGAGUCACCUUGUGAUUUUUAAAUUUUUAUUUUAAUAAAGCUAAUCAAUUUCUACAACCUUGUCACAUGUAGCUGAGUCUGGGAUGACUCAGUGGAUCAGUGGAUGCGUGGAAGGUUUUGGUGUUUAUAACUCAUGACCCAAAUCCUUCCAAGACACAAAUGAAGCUAAUCUUCUUCCCCUCCCUUUCCUCUCCCACUUCCCCUCUGUGUCUGUGUCUGUGUGUGUGUGUGUGUGCGCGCGCACGCAUGCAGAGAGGAAGGAAGGGAGCUUUAGCACAAGUAGCUACAUAGUGUUCAAGGAUCAGCUUUCUUGAACUCCGAGGCUUGGUUGCCUUUGCUGAACUCCAAGUUAGUGGAUUGCAGAAUGGAAACUUGGCUUUUGCGGCACUGGGUGAGUUUUAGUUUGUGUGUGUCUUGCUGGGGGGUGGUGAUGAUUGUCUCAGCACUCACGCACUGCACAAGAUGGCAGCAGGAUACAGCCAAAUGGCAGCUCCUCUGUAGCUUCCUCCUCAGCCUCCCUCCUUGCACCCCCACAGGUUUGGCUUGUGGUUUUUGUCAUCAGUAACCUACUGCCUGAGAUUAUGAUCUCUUAAAAGAUGAGACUCUCGGAAGGGUUGAUUGUAUGCGUCAGUGAGCCUUCUAUCACCUUCUGGAACAAAGUCACUUGAAAUCUCUUGAUGAGAUUAAGGAGUUUAGUGUUACUAAGAAAAUCUGCUUUGGGCCGCAGCAGUGCUGGGUGUUCUCAGACCUGACUCAGGAAGUUAGCUGCGGGCUGCCCUGUGGGCUGGUGCUUCAGGAGGAAUCCAGAGAAGUGUUCAGAUGCCCCCCUUGGGCUCCUUUCUAAUUUUAAUCAGCUCUUUAAAUAGCUGCCCAUCUCCUGUGAUUGCACAACCAAGCACUUUGACAUUUGCACCUUAGGAGAGGCAGAUGUUAAAAUGGAAUCCAAAGACCACCUAGGGCGGGGCUGGGUGGGAGAUGGGAGGGCCAACUGCGAGCUGCUCCACUUCUCAGCUCUCCCCUGCCCUGCAGCCCUGGGCCAGACAAGGCCGGAAGGUUUCAGGGGCAUUUGACAUCCCCUCCUGGUUCUCACCAGGAAAACAUCCAAAGCUUUGGAGGAAACAGGCCCUGCCCCUGGCUCCUUAAAUGCCCCGUCUCUUUGUAAACUGAUAUUCAGCCAGCAAUGCCUAAGACUUUGUUAAGAUCAUUUCUACUGCUUUUCUUUCUGCUUCAAACACACAGUUCGUCUCUGAGGAAAGUAAAAUAAAUGGAAUAAGAGUAAAUUGGGUAAGGAGAUAUCCAAAGCUACCCAGUCCCUUGACCCAGCACAGUUGGCCGACCCGUGUCACUCCCUGGCUGUCGCUGCUUCUCUGUGCUCACUGAAGGGUGAGCCAGGCCAGUGCUUCCCCAGCCCCUGGGCCUGGUCACUACACAGUGGAAAACAGACAAGCGGCCCCUUCCCCAAAUCCCAAGAGUGUCUUGCUGCUUGGUGCGUGCUCAUCGCAACGUUCUGAAGGCUCCAGGGCCACUUUGUUUGUAAGUAUGAUCUGUGCCUCAAAAUACCAUAGUAGCUGCUUGAUAAAAUUCUAAAAAUAUCUGGUUCUCUAUUAUGUAAACACUAUUACAGUCACCAGUGUGUGAAGACUCUUGAGUCUGGUUCUCAUAUCAGAGUCAUCAUUUUUCUUCCUGUGGAAUAAAAUGCCUUGUGGACUUCCCAAA